UGGGGAAUUUUGGACAAUGGGUGAAGCCUGAUCCAGCAAUGCCGCGUGUGUGAAGAAGGCCUUCGGGUUGUAAAGCACUUUUGUCCGGAAAGAAAUCCUUGGCUCUAAUACAGUCGGGGGAUGACGGUACCGGAAGAAUAAGCACCGGCUAACUACGUGCCAGCAGCCGCGGUAAUACGUAGGGUGCAAGCGUUAAUCGGAAUUACUGGGCGUAAAGCGUGCGCAGGCGGUUUGCUAAGACCGAUGUGAAAUCCCCGGGCUCAACCUGGGAACUGCAUUGGUGACUGGCAGGCUAGAGUAUGGCAGAGGGGGGUAGAAUUCCACGUNUAGCAGUGAAAUGCGUAGAGAUGUGGAGGAAUACCGAUGGCGAAGGCAGCCCCCUGGGCCAAAUACUGACGCUCAUGCACG
rnacentral:rRNA from 1 species